rnacentral:sRNA from 1 species
GCUGGGCGAGGUGGCACACGCCUGUAAUCCCAGUGGCUCUGGAGGCUGAGGGAGGAGGAUUGAGAGUUUAAAGCCAGCCUCAACAAUAUCGAGGCACUAAGCAACUCAGUGAGAUCCUGUCUCUA